UACGUAGGGGGGCAAGCGUUGUCCGGAAUCAUUGGGCGUAAAGGGCGUGUAGGCGGUUUGUUAAGUCAUGUGUGAAAUCCCUCGGCUCAACCGGGGAACGACGCAUGAAACUGGCAAGCUAGAGUACCAAAGAGGGGGGUGGAAUUCCCGGUGUAGCGGUGAAAUGCGUAGAUAUCGGGAAGAACACCCGUGGCGAAGGCGGUUCUCUGGGACGGUACUGACGCUGGAGACGCGAAAGCGUGGGGAGCGAACAGG
rnacentral:rRNA from 1 species